UGGGGAAUUUUGGACAAUGGGCGCAAGCCUGAUCCAGCCAUGCCGCGUGCGGGAAGAAGGCCUUCGGGUUGUAAACCGCUUUUGUCAGGGAAGAAAUCUUCUGAGUUAAUACCUCGGGAGGAUGACGGUACCUGAAGAAUAAGCACCGGCUAACUACGUGCCAGCAGCCGCGGUAAUACGUAGGGUGCAAGCGUUAAUCGGAAUUACUGGGCGUAAAGCGUGCGCAGGCGGUUUUGUAAGACAGAGGUGAAAUCCCCGGGCUCAACCUGGGAACUGCCUUUGUGACUGCAAGGCUUGAGUGCGGCAGAGGGGGAUGGAAUUCCGCGUGUAGCAGUGAAACGCGUAGAUAUGCGGAGGAACACCGAUGGCGAAGGCAAUCCCCUGGGCCUGCACUGACGCUCAUGCACGAAAGCGUGGGGAGCAAACAGGAUUAGAUACCCUGGUAGUCCACGCCCUAAAACGAUGUCAACUGGUUGUUGGGAAGGUUCCUUCUCAGUAACGUAGCUAACGCGUGAAGUUGACCGCCUGGGGAGUACGGCCGCAAGGUUGAAACUUAAAUGAAUUGACGGGGUCAUAGCUGUUUCCUG
rnacentral:rRNA from 1 species